UAGUAACUGUUAUCUAUUUACAAUUUUUAAUGUGAAGGAUGGUUUAAGAAAAGUCAAGUGAUGACGUUUGGAGCCUGCCGGAGGCCAGCUGCUUUGUGUCAGGCACUGAGAACAAAAAGGUGGAUUUGCGGUCACUGAGCUCCUGAGGAAAGAAACAUCACAAAAUGUCUGCAGAAACAAAAGAAUGACAAAUCUUGUGGAUUCCUUGAGUAUUUCUUGCCCUAAAGAGUCUACAUUUUGUAGUUCUUUCACCUAAAAAAAUCUGUUUCGCUGGAGUCCUGCUGCUGCGAUAUUCACUGGGAAGUAAGGAAGGAGCUGCUUAACUUUAUGGUUUAUCCUGUGGCUUAGGGUCUGGUCUAUGAUCUCAGAUUCCUCCCCUGACUCUCUUCAGGUGAGAUAAGAAAAUUAGAGGAUGUAGAGUUGGAGAAAUGCCUUCCCUCUAAGUAGUUUAUGCAUUGGCAAAAUUAUUUCCUGGCAAGUAAGACUGUUUUUUAAAAAGGGGGUUCUAAACCUCCCCCCAAUCUCCAGCAGCUGAUCAAAUCAGAUGCUGAGACUCACAGCCAAGUAUUAGGUGGAGCUCUGGGAGUCCUGUGGAAGAGUGAGGCUGGGGAGGAUAGAAGGACCCAGAGGGGACAAGAACUCUGCAAGAAGACCA